rnacentral:tRNA from 1 species
GAAGGCGUGAUGUGGUCCGGCCAAUCAUCUUGGCCUUUCGAACCGAGGACAGGGGUUCAAAUCCCCUACCGAGCA